rnacentral:rRNA from 1 species
GUCGAUGCGAGGUGCUGCAUGGUUGUCGUCAGCUCGUGCCGUGAGGUGUUAGGUUAAGUCCUGUAACGAGCGCAACCCCUAUACUUAGUUACCAGCACGUAAUGGUGGGGACUCUAGGUAAACUGCCUGCGCAAGCAGAGAGGAAGGUGGGGAUGACGUCAAAUCAGCACGGCCCUUACGUCCAGGGCCACACACGUGCUACAAUGGCCGAUACAGAGGGCAGCUACCUGGUGACAGGAUGCAAAUCUCGAAAGUCGGUCUCAGUUCGGAUCGGAGUCUGCAACUCGACUCCGUGAAGUUGGAUUCGCUAGUAAUCGCGCAUCAGCCAUGGCGCGGUGAAUACGUUCCCGGGCCUU